rnacentral:rRNA from 1 species
GACAGAGGUCCCGAGCGUUAGGCGGAAUCACUGGGCUUAAAGCGUGUGUAGGCGGAGUUCUAAGUACCUUGUGAAAUCCCACGGCUCAACCGUGGAACUGCUUGGUAUACUGGUUCUCUUGAGCCACCUAGGGGCAACCGGAACAAACGGUGGAGCGGUGAAAUGCGUAGAUAUCGUUUGGAACGCCAAUGGUGAAAACAGGUUGCUGGGGGUGUGCUGACGCUGAGACACGAAAGCCAGGGGAGCAAACGGGG